GGGAGAGGUUAUUUCCCCACCGUGUUCAGGGACAACCCUGUGAUCAUGGUUUUGGUCACAUAGCUUCCAAGUGAGUGUUGUGCAAACAUUUGCUAGGAUCUCUCGGGGAGCCUGUUAGAAAAGAAACUCCUGAGCCUGCUCCAGAGCUUCUGUUCAGCAGGCCUGAGGUGGGACCAUACACCUGUCUUUUCAGCAAGCCCCCCCCCACCUCUGAGGAUGCACCCCAAAGCUAGAGAAUUCCUGCUCUGAGCCAUCUCUGAAAGCACCAAGAGCCAGCUCACGGAGGAGAUGCCAGCUCACGGAGGAAAAUCUGGAAGGUGUUGAAGCAUAGACGCUGGAACAUAAAAUGACUCAUGAUCUCACUGGGAGAAGGGCUGGGAACAUCGUGGGCUCUCUUCUCCCCGCGCUCCUCUCUCCGGGUCUCUGUUUCCCUCAUUCCACGAUGUUUAGAACCAUCGGCGCACUACAUCAGACUAGAGGUCUGGGGUCACCCGACCAUCCCGCCACAAGCCCCUCCGAGGCAUCACUGUGUCCAGAUUUUGCAAACUGCACCUCCUGAAGGGGCUGGGGUCUGUCCACUUCGCCCCAUCUGCCGUGGCAGCACUUCCUCCGUGGUUCGCACCCCCACAGCAGCCUCCUGGGAAGGCACCUCCCUGGGGCCCCUCUCAGUCCACGGUGUGGAUAUGGCAGCAAGCUAUGCAUUUUGCAUAUAUUAGCAAAUCCAUGAGGCAGGUGCUGUCUUCAUUGUACAGGUCAGGAAGAUUCCUGCAGCUGCUGAGUUAGUACUUUUAAGAAAGUACUGGAUUCCCUCUCACAAUGGGACUUUGAUUUUUUUAAGAAAAAGGUUUCAUAAGUUUUCAAAUAACCUGGAGCAGUUGAGCAAACUUAAUGUGCAGCGUGGUCCCUGCUGGCUGGGUUUGAGGGGCUGGGUCUCUCUGAGUGGAUGCUGGUGAGGUGCAGAGGAAGAAGAAAAGGUGCCUGAGGGCCUGUGUGGAAGGCCUGUCACACAGCACAUCCUGGGAAAUCUGUCCAGGAAGCAGCCAGGCGGGCAUCAGCCAGGCGGGCAUCAGCAUCUUCACUGUGCAGAUGAGAAACUGAGGCCGCAGAGGUGAAGGGACAUGCCCAGGAUCACUAAGGUGAUCCCUAGAAACACAGCCAGUGGCCCGGAAGCUGCACUGUUUUGUGCACCGCAGGGAUGGGCACAGAUGGGGCUGCCUGCCCUCCUCCUGGAAGGAGGGAGAACCCAGUCUGGCCUGGAGUGGUCAAGAGCUAACUCUAGACUCAGCAAGACCUACUUCUCUCUCCUGCCCCUACUUCCUUGCUGCUGACCUGGGCAAGUCGCUGAAGCCUCUCCGUGCCUCAGUCUGCUCGUGCGUAAGAUGGGCACAGGGCACACUGCCUACUUGAUUGGGCUCAACCACGUGCAGUAAGUAGCUGGUGUCUGGCAAGAGCCCUCAGGAAACAGUAACCCCAUUAAUUCAAAUGCACGUGCCUGGAACAGGCUCUGGGGGGCCAGCCCGGGAGUCCCACUCCAUGAUGGCCACCCUGGGGCCUGGCAGGCUGGGCUGGCAUCCCAGGCCCACCGGAUACUGGCUGUGCACCCCGGCCAGGCCACACAUCUCUGAGCCUCACUUUCCCGUGUGUGAGAUGAGGCUAGAAGCUGCUUUCUCUUGCGUGUGUGGGGAUUGGCGGUGACAACACGGCCAGGAGCCCAGGCCCAGCCUACGCGAGCAGCCUCGCUCCAGGCCACACGCCCCACUCCUGACAGCUCUGUGCAGCGAGUUCGUGCGCGAGCGGGUGGCUGUCUGCCAGGCGAGGGGCGCGGGUGCCCAAGAGGGCUUCACUGCUUCUGGAAAGAUCACAAGGAAAAACCACCUCCGCGGCGGGACGCUACCCGCGGGCCGCUGCGGUCCCGCUCGCGGCCGGCAGGGGGCAGGAUGUCCCCGCGAGUCGCCCGUGUCUUCGGGUGUCCUCAGGUCACCCCGCACCGCUCGCAGCCUCCGCGCCUAGUUAAAGGGCGACGCACUCAUUUCUGCAAAGAAGGAGCCCAGCGGCCCCUCCCCGGGGAACUCUUUCCAUCAACUCGGGGCCUAAUAAUUUACAUUUAAUUUGUUAGCGGUUUAAUGUUUAAUUUUAAAAGCGAGAUGAUUCAUUACCAUAUUAAUAAAUAAUAACAUUUAUUAUUCUCCUAAUGAGUGUCCAAAAUACAGAAGCAAUUACAUGUUUUAUAUAUUUUCUCGUAAUUUGAGACACCAGAGCGUUAAUUACAGAGACUCACGCGUGGACCCCAUUCUGAUCCAGGGUCCUGAUCCUGCCUUUGUUUCGGUCUCUGAACCAGCCGCCCUCCGGGGCUUCUGCAAUUCCCUCAAUUAGAGGAGAGGAAGUCGUACGUGACGAAGCUGGGGCUCUCACAGAACCCCGGCGCCCCAGACCCAGGAGCUGCAAGACCUCAGCUCCCCGUGCCCACACUCGGAGACCCAGGCCCCUCCCAGUCCCCCGUCUCCUCUGUGCAGGGUUCUUCAGGAAGAAUCGGAAAGAGGCCCCCCGACCCACAACCAGCCUCGCAUUCCCUCCUCCCGCAGGGAUCCAUUGAGCUGGGGGGUGGGACUAUCCUCACUUCACAGAUGGGGAAACUGAGUCCUGGAGAGAGACGCUCCGGUGUCCUCAGCUGGUGAGGGGCAGAUCCGGGAGCCACGUCCCACGCAGUCGGUUGGCCCCAAGCUUGGUUCCUGCCUCAACCCCAGCGCAGGUUGCAGCAGGCCCGCGUAGGAGGGCGGCCUGGGUCUGGACAGAUCCACAGCCGGCCAACGCCCCUGGCUAGCUCUCUAUGGCUUUGCUUCUUCUCUUGACUUGCCAAGUUCUUCUUGUUCAUUGUAGAAAAUGUGGAAGGUGAGGCCGGGAGCGGUGGCUCACGCCUGUAAUCCUAGCACUUUGGGAGGCCGAGGCGGGCAGAUUGCCUGAGCUCAGGAGUUCGAGACCAGCCUGGGCAACAUGGUGAAACACGUCUCUACUAAAAAAAAAAAAAAAAAAAAAAAAAAAAUUUGCUGGGCGUGACGGCAGGCGCCUGUAGUCCCAGUGGGAGUUUGGGGAGGCUGAGGCAGGAGAAUCACUUGAACCCGGGAAGCAGAGAUUGCAGUGAGCCGAGAUCGUGCCACUGCACUCCAAUCUAGCGACAGAGCAAGACUCCGUCUCAAAAAAAAAAAAAAAAAAAAAAGUGGAAGGUGAAAAAAACACGGAGAGACAGCAAAGCUGGCAAUGACAUAGCUCCAAAAAUCCCACUUCUCAGAUAAGAUGCAGGCAGUAAGGGCCUGGAGUUUUAUGUAUCCUGAUGUUUGAAAGGGCUUGGACAGGGCACUUCCUCCCUCCAUAGCUCUUCUGUCCUUAGGAAUCCCUCCCUUCUGGAGGGGAAGGGUGGGGGUUUUCCUGUUUGGUCCCCAGGGAAGGAAGUUCAGAGACAGAGGCCCACUCAGGGCCACCCCCUGGCCUGCACCCCUGAAAUGCAAUUUGGAUAAUAUGGAAAAUUACUAGGAAGAAAAAACGCUAUAAUCCCCCCACCUAGAGAUAACCAGGCGUUCUGGUAUAUACCUAUUGAGGACUUUUUUCCCAAGCAAAUACUCAGAAAGAGACUUCCUCCCAAUAGGCAUGAGAUCUUACUCCACGUGCAGUUUGUCUUAUCUUGAUUUUUUUCCAGUAAUCUUUUAAGAGUUUCCCAUGCCAUGUAGUCAUUCUUCAAAAACCCACUUUGAACAGCUGCGUAAUAUUCCGCUGUGGAGGAGUGCCCUGCAGUGUAGAGAAAUGAGUUAUUUACGCUGAAGUCUGUUAUUACAUGGACAUCUUCCCUUUUCUGACCCUGCAAUGACCACACUCAUAGGUGAGUCUCUCUGGAAAUCCUUGACUACCUCCUUAGGGUCCAUUCUUAGAAGUGGAAUUACUGGGUUAGAGGGCAUGAGUGCCUUGAGGGCGGCUGUCUCCCUCUACCUGCAUGCCUGCCAGGGCAAACCCGUGCAUGCUCCCAGGACAGGCCUGGCAGGGCGUGUCUCCCUGCUGCACCCUUGGUACCCUUGGCAGGGCUAACAUUAUCCUCUAAACCAGGUCUUUGCAGCACUUACCCUUUUCAAGGUGCUACUGUACCUCUCCUUUAAGGAG
rnacentral:lncRNA from 1 species